rnacentral:rRNA from 1 species
UACGUAGGGUGCAAGCGUUGUCCGGAAUCAUUGGGCGUAAAGCGCGUGUAGGCGGCUCGAUAAGUCUGCUGUGAAAGUCCAGGGCUCAACCCUGGGAUGCCGGUGGAUACUGUCGAGCUUGAGUCCGGAAGAGGCGAGUGGAAUUCCUGGUGUAGCGGUGAAAUGCGCAGAUAUCAGGAGGAACACCUAUGGCGAAGGCAGCUCGCUGGGACGUGACUGACGCUGAGACGCGAAAGCGUGGGGAGCAAACAGG